rnacentral:rRNA from 1 species
UACGAAGGGGGCUAGCGUUGUUCGGACUUACUGGGCGUAAAGCGCGCGCAGGCGGCCAUUCAAGUCCGGGGUGAAAGCCCAGAGCUCAACUCUGGAACUGCCCUUGAAACUGUAUGGCUUGAGUAUGAGAGAGGUGAGUGGAAUUCCCAGUGUAGAGGUGAAAUUCGUAGAUAUUGGGAAGAACACCGGUGGCGAAGGCGGCUCACUGGCUCAUUACUGACGCUCAGGCGCGACAGCGUGGGGAUCAAACAGG